AUGGCCACCAGGCUCUUCUUCUGUGUGGCUCUUUGUCUCCUGCAGGCAGGACACAUGGAUGCUGGAAUCACCCAGAGUCCAAGAUACGAGACAGCGAGGACAAGAAAGGAGGUGACUCUGAGAUGUCACCAGACAGAAAACUAUGACUAUAUGUACUGGUAUCGACAAGACCUGGGACAUGGGCUGAGGCUGAUCUAUUAUUCAAUCAAUAUUGGCCACACUGAAAAAGGAGAAGUCUCCGAUGGGUACACUGUCUCUAGAUCAAAUAUGGAGGAUUUCCAACUCACACUGCUAUCUGUUGCCUCCUCCCAGACAUCUGUGUACUUCUGUGCCAACAGUUAA